AUUUAAAUAGCUUAUAAACUAGAGCAUAACAUUGAAGCUGUUAGGGAGAUACUUAUCUUUAAAUA
rnacentral:tRNA from 1 species